CUCCUCAGAGACAGGGUGUCCACCUCACACCCUUCAACCCCCAGCACCCAGCCCUCCGUGGGGGCUCUCUGCAGUUUGUGGUCCAGGUUCUGUUCUCAGGACAAGCACAAUCACCAACAGGCAUCAGCUGCGCUGGCUCCUGGAAGUCAGCCCUGCGCCACGCCCCUGAGCAGUUCUCCAGGCCUUCCUCUUCGUCUGGCAGCCAGAGCUGAGACCUGCACCAGUGCUGGAGAGCAAGAAUUCCAAACUUCAAAACUAAGCAGUCUCUGAAGAAUGGAGAUGGCAGGCGUUCUGCUCCCUUACAGCAGCUGGUAGAAUCAAGACCCAUGGGUCCAUGGAGGAAAAGGGGAAGAGCCUCUGUCCUUUGGACCCCUGAUCCCGGGGUUUCCUCUCACACUCCCAUCAUCGCCGUCUCCUCUGUGUGCUGUGCUUAUCAGCCCUGUGGGCUCCAUGGACAUCUCAUGUGCCUGGGAGGCUGCUCUCCUUGUCCUGUGGAUCCAGUUCUUGGCAGCCCCACUCUCAGGAGCACAGGAGUCCUGAGAGCCUCCUUCUGCCCAUCCAGAUGCCCACACACCUGACCAGGAGUGCACUGCUUGUUCUGACAUAAAAAAUGUGAGUUUUCUUCAGUUGUCUCUCGAUGUUGUCUUAUUUAAUAAAGAAACAGCCUUCAGCCAUGCCAGGCAGCCAUGGACUGGAAGCUUCUGCAGCUUGCUCGGGUAGAGCUGUUCCUCCUGGAGCCCUAACAAAGCCCUCCGUUCCCCUUAUGAACCCCCUGCCAUGGCCAUCUUCAGCUCCCCUUGGGGACUGUUCCAGAGAACAAAUCUAAGGACAGAGGCUGAACCUCCCUGGAGCAAGCCUGGCUCUACGGGUGGCUGACUCCCUUAGAGGAGCCGUGCUCCGAGUUUUCAGAAGGAAACUGCAUGUCUUUAAUACAAACACAGGUGUGUCUGUAAUGUUUCUAAAUGGAAAAGGAGUGUUUGCCCUCAGGCAUCCUUGAUGGGACAAUGGACAGCAGCCUCGGUGAAGGUGUGGCUGGGACUCCCAGGGUGUCUGCUCCCUCUGUGUAUGGGCUGGGCUCCCUAAUCCCUGCAAGGAGUCCCAAAGCCAUGGAGUAGAGAGCCUUUGCAGCUGCCCUAGAGCCUGAGAGGCC
rnacentral:lncRNA from 1 species